UACGUAGGUGGCAAGCGUUGUCCGGAUUUACUGGGCGUAAAGCGCGCGCAGGCGGCGCGCCAAGUCCUGGGUGAAAUCUCCCGGCUCAACCGGGAGGGGUCUCUGGAUACUGGCGUGCUUGAGGGGAGCAGAGGAGAGCGGAAUUCCCGGUGUAGCGGUGAUAUGCGUAGAUAUCGGGAGGAACACCAGUGGCGAAGGCGGCUCUCUGGGCUCUACCUGACGCUGAGGCGCGAAAGCGUGGGGAGCGAACCGG
rnacentral:rRNA from 1 species